rnacentral:rRNA from 1 species
UGGGGAAUUUUGCGCAAUGGGGGAAACCCUGACGCAGCGACGCCGCGUGGAGGAUGACGGCCUUCGGGUUGUAAACUCCUGUCAGAAGGGACGAAAUCCCGCAAGGGACUGACGGUACCUUCAGAGGAAGCCCCGGCUAACUACGUGCCAGCAGCCGCGGUAAUACGUAGGGGGCAAGCGUUGCUCGGAAUUACUGGGCGUAAAGGGUGAGUAGGCGGUCGGGCAAGUCAAGGAUGAAAUCCCGAGGCUCAACUUCGGAAUUGUUCUUGAAACUGCUCGGCUUGAGGGUAGUUGAGGAGAGCGGAAUUCCCGGUGGAGCGGUGAAAUGCGUAGAUAUCGGGAGGAACACCUGAGGCGAAGGCGGCUCUCUAAACUACUCCUGACGCUGAAUCACGAAAGCUAGGGGAGCAAACGGG